AUUCCUUUGCCAAAAAUCAUUGCAAAGAUUAAAGUGGGAAAAAUUAUCACGUUGUUGGAGACAGUGACAGCGUAAGUCGGUAAUUGUCAGACAAAAAAAUAACCACGCGUAAAGUUAAAGCCUAUCGCUCUUCAAUACGACGCUGUAAUCAUCAAACACACACUGUUCUCCAUUUACAGAGCACACUCUCUUUUCUUUGCUGGCUGGCUUUUAUUCUCAGAAUCCAAGACUUCAGUUAAUUGAUUUGUUUGUUGGUUUGCUUUCAAUGUCUUGAGAAAGAGCGAGGAUCUGAAGGUAUUCAGAGAAAGAGCGAGUGAAAGAGAGAUUAGGGUUUAGGAUUUAAGGAGCGGGCCAAUCUAUGGCUGUCACGUCGCAGUCCCUUCGCUACAGCGGCCCCGGAGGGGCCUCGGCCCCUAGCGGCGGUAGCUUUGAGGCGCUUAACAGAAUUCUCUUGGACCUCUGCACACAUGGCAAUCCGAAGGAGGGUGCGUCGUUAGCUUUGAAGAAACACCUAGAAGAGGAGGCGCGUGAUCUCAGUGGAGAAGCUUUUUCGCGAUUUAUGGAUCAGUUAUACGAUAGGAUUUCUAGUCUAUUAGAUAGCAAUGAUGUUGCUGAGAAUUUUGGGGCUUUAAGAGCCAUUGAUGAGUUGAUAGACGUGGCUCUGGGUGAGAAUGCCUCUAAGGUUUCCAAAUUCUCUGGUUAUAUGAGGACCGUUUUUGAGGUAAAGCGUGAUCGAGAGAUUUUGGUCCUUGCGAGUAAAGUUCUUGGCCAUCUAGCCAGGGCUGGAGGAGCAAUGACUGCAGACGAAGUGGAAUUUCAGGUAAAAAUGGCUCUGGAUUGGCUUUGUGGGGAACGAGUAGAGUAUCGCCGAUUUGCUGCUGUCUUAAUCUUGAAAGAAAUGGCAGAAAAUGCUUCAACUGUGUUCAAUGUCCAUGUACCUGAAUUUGUUGAUGCUAUCUGGGUUGCACUAAGGGAUCCAGCAUUGCCUGUUAGAGAGCGGGCUGUAGAGGCAUUGCGUGCUUGCCUUCGUGUUAUUGAAAAGCGUGAGACACGCUGGCGUGUGCAGUGGUAUUAUCGAAUGUUUGAGGCUACUCAAGAUGGGUUGGGUAGAAAUGCUCCAGUACAUAGCAUACAUGGUUCUUUACUUGCAGUUGGUGAGCUCUUGAGGAAUACGGGUGAGUUCAUGAUGUCAAGGUAUAGAGAAGUUGCAGAUAUUGUACUCCGGUACUUACAGCACCGGGAUCGGCUUGUUCGCCUUAGUAUAACUUCUCUACUACCUCGCAUUGCUCAUUUCUUGCGUGACCGAUUUGUUACAAACUACUUGAAGAUAUGCAUGAAUCACAUUCUCACAGUUCUGCAAAUGCCGGUUGAGCGUGACAGUGGGUUCAUUGCUCUUGGGGAGAUGGCUGGUGCUCUGGAUGGGGAACUCAUCCACUAUUUGCCGACAAUUACAUCUCUCUUACGUGAAGCAAUUGCUCCACGCAGAGGCAAACCCUCGCUUGAGGCUUUGGCUUGUGUUGGAAAUAUUGCAAAAGCAAUGGGUCCUGUAAUGGAACCUCAUGUGCGUGGUCUAUUGAAUGUAAUGUUUUCUCCUUCUGCUAGUCUUUCCAGCACGCUUGUAGAUGCCCUUGAACAAAUUACUGUCAGUAUUCCUUCUUUGCUGCCUACUAUUCAAGAUCGGCUGCUUGACUCUAUUUCACUAGUUCUUUCAAAAUCCCUUUAUUCUCAAACAAGGCCAUCUGCUCCAUUGGUUCGAGGAAAUAUGAUGAAUAUUCCUCAGCAAGUUUUGGACCUUAAUGGUUCAGCCUUAGUGCAACUUGCGUUGCAGACUCUUGCUCGUUUUAAUUUUAAGGGCCAUGAACUUCUUGAGUUUGCAAGAGAAUCGGUUGUUGUAUAUUUGGAUGAUGAGGAUAAGGUCACACGAAAAGAUGCUGCCCUAUGUUGUUGCAAAUUAGUUGCAAAUUCUUUCUCUGGAGUAUCAUGUACACAAUUUGGUUCUAGUAGGUCCAAUCGAACCGGAGGAAAGCGACGACGUCUUAUUGAAGAGCUUGUGGAGAAGCUUCUCAUUUCAGCUGUAGCUGAUGCUGAUGUUACUGUUCGCCAUUCUAUCUUUUCCUCACUGCAUGGGAACAGAGGUUUUGAUGAGUUUUUAGCACAGGCUGAUAGUCUGAGUGCAGUUUUUGCUGCUUUAAAUGAUGAGGAUUUUGAUGUUCGAGAGUAUGCAAUCUCAGUGGCUGGGAGAUUAUCAGAAAAAAAUCCUGCCUAUGUUCUCCCCGCUCUUCGUCGUCAUCUCAUACAGUUGUUGACAUAUUUAGACCAGAGCAGUGCAGACAACAAAUGCAGAGAAGAAAGUGCGAAGUUACUUGGUUGCUUGAUACGCAACUGUGAGAGACUAAUACGUCCAUACAUUACUCCAAUACACAAGGCACUUUUGGCAAGACUUCUUGAGGGCACUGGGGUCAAUGCGAAUAAUGGAAUUAUUAGUGGAGUCCUUGUAACCGUUGGGGAUCUUGCUAGAGUGGGUGGUUUUGGAAUGAGAGAAUAUGUAUCCGAACUUAUGCCUUUAAUUGUUGAUGCUUUAUCGGAUGGAGCAGCUGUCGCAAAACGUGAAGUGGCUGUGACAACUCUUGGUCAGGUUGUUCAGAGCACUGGGUAUGUGAUAACUCCAUAUAAUGAAUACCCACAAUUACUUGUCUUGCUUUUGAAAAUGUUGAAUGGUGAGUUAGUUUGGUCUACAAGACAGGAAGUGUUAAAGGUGCUUGGUAUCAUGGGUGCUUUGGAUCCCCAUGUGCAUAAAAGAAAUCAGCAACUGUCAGGGUCACAUGGCGAAGUUACCCGUGCUGCAAGUGAUUCUGGCCAACACAUUCCUUCAGUGGAUGAGUUGCCAAUGGACCUUUGGCCAUCAUUCGCUACAUCUGAAGAUUAUUAUUCUACGGUUGCUAUAAAUUCUCUUAUGCGAAUUCUUAGGGAUCCUUCACUUGCUAGUUGCCACCAAAAGGUGGUAGGAUCUCUUAUGUUCAUAUUUAAGUCAAUGGGCCUUGGUUGUGUUCCUUACUUGCCAAAGGUGCUGCCUGAUCUCUUUCUUACAGUUCAUACAUGUGAUGAUUAUCUGAAGGAUUAUAUAACAUGGAACCUUGGAACUCUUGUGUCUAUAGUACGACAGCAUAUUCGUAAAUAUUUGCAAGAAUUGUUCUCUCUAAUUUCUGAAUUAUGGUCAUCCUUCAGUUUGCCAGCUACUAAUCGUACUUCCCGUGGUCUUCCGGUUCUGCAUCUUGUGGAGCAGCUUUGCUUGGCCCUUAAUGAUGAGUUCAGAACACAUCUUCCCGUUAUUCUUCCGUGUUGCAUUCAAGUUCUAACUGAUGCUGAACGGUGCAAUGACUACACCUAUGUUCUUGACAUUCUUCACACCCUUGAAGUGUUUGGUGGGACACUGGAUGAGCAUAUGCAUCUGCUUCUUCCUGCACUUAUUCGAUUGUUUAAGGUGGAUGCUUCUGUGGAUAUAAGGCGUGCAGCUAUCAAAACUUUGACUAGAUUGAUACCUCGUGUGCAGGUUACUGGUCAUAUAUCUUCUCUUGUGCACCACUUAAAGCUGGUCUUGGAUGGGAAGAAUGACGAGCUCCGAAAGGAUGUUGUUGAUGCACUUUGUUGUUUGGCUCAUGCCCUUGGAGAGGAUUUCACUAUCUUCAUCCCUUCAAUACACAAACUUCUGUUGAAAUAUCGGUUGCGGCACAAGGAAUUUGAGGAGAUUGAAGGACGCUUGAGGAGACGCGAACCUCUAAUUUUGGGGAGUACAGCUGCACAAAGAUUAAGUCAACAAGUUCCAGUUGAAGUUAUUAGUGACCCAUUAAAUGAUGUUGAGAGUGACCCUUAUGAAGAUGGGACUGAUGUGCUGAAACAAAUUAGAGCCCAUCAGGUCAAUGAUGGUCGUUUACGUGCUGCUGGAGAGGCUUCUCAGCGAAGCACCAAAGAAGACUGGGCAGAAUGGAUGAGGCAUUUUAGCAUUGAGCUCUUAAAGGAAUCACCUUCUCCAGCAUUGCGAACCUGUGCAAGGCUGGCACAAGUGCAGCCUUUUCUUGGGCGGGAGUUGUUUGCUGCUGGUUUUGUUAGUUGUUGGUCACAACUGCAUGAAGCCAGUCAGAAACAGCUAGUUCGGAGUUUAGAGAUGGCUUUUUCCUCUCCAAAUAUUCCUCCUGAAAUUCUGGCAACACUUCUUAACUUGGCAGAGUUCAUGGAACAUGAUGAGAAACCUCUUCCUAUUGACAUCCGACUCCUUGGGGCUCUUGCUGAAAAGUGUCGUGCAUUUGCCAAGGCUUUGCAUUACAAAGAAAUGGAAUUUGAGGGUGCUCUUUCAAAGAAGAUGGAUGCUAAUCCUGUUGCUGUAGUUGAACUACUAAUUCAUAUAAAUAAUCAGUUACAUCAGCAUGAGGCGGCAGUUGGAAUACUGACCUAUGCUCAACAAAACCUGGGUGUUCAAUUGAAGGAGUCAUGGUAUGAGAAAUUGCAGCGGUGGGAUGAUGCUCUCAAGGCUUACACUGUCAAAGCCUCUCAAGCAUCAAAUCCACACUUUGUAUUGGAACCUACUUUAGGGCGAAUGCGUUGCCUUGCAGCAUUGGCUCGAUGGGAAGAGCUUAACAACCUGUGCAAAGAGUAUUGGACUCCAGCUGAGCCAUCUGCACGGCUAGAAAUGGCACCAAUGGCUGCACAUGCUGCUUGGAAUAUGGGGGAGUGGGAUCAAAUGUCAGAAUAUGUGUCUCGCUUAGAUGAUGGUGAUGAAACAAAACUCAGGGUACUGGGUAACACUGCUGCUAGUGGUGAUGGAAGCAGUAAUGGUACAUUUUUUAGGGCUGUGUUAUUAGUUCGAAAAGGAAAGCAUGACGAAGCACGUAAAUAUGUUGAGAGAGCUAGGAAAUGCCUGGCUACAGAGCUUGCUGCUUUGGUUUUGGAAAGCUAUGAACGUGCCUAUAGCAAUAUGGUCCGUGUUCAGCAGCUAUCAGAACUAGAGGAGGUAAUUGAUUACUGUACGCUUCCUGUGGGAAAUCCUGUUGCUGAAGGGCGGCGGGCUAUAAUCCGCAAUAUGUGGACUGAGCGUAUACAAGGAGCAAAACGUAAUGUUGAGGUCUGGCAAGCACUCUUGGCUGUUAGAGCUCUUGUUCUACCACCCACUGAAGACAUUGACACUUGGCUCAAGUUUGCUUCUCUUUGUCGGAAAAAUGGCCGAGUUAGUCAGGCUAGAUCUACUUUGGUCAAACUCUUACUGUAUGACCCUGAAACAUCUCCUGAAAACAUGCGGUAUCAUGGGCCUCCUCAAGUAAUGCUGGGAUACUUAAAAUAUCAGUGGGCACUUGGGGAUGAUCUGAAGCGAAAGGAAGCAUUUGUUAGGCUGCAGAAUUUGGCUAUGGAACUUUCAAAUGCCCCACAUAUUCAUCCAGUUGCUGCAACUGGUUUAGCCGGUGGUACUGCUACAACUGUUCCCUUUGUUGCCCGUGUAUAUCGUAGACUUGGAACUUGGCAAUGGGCCCUUUCUCCAGGAUUGGAUGAUGAAUCUAUACCAGAAAUUCGAGCUGCUUUCAGGAAUGCCACUCAGUUUGCAGCAAAAUGGGGGAAAGCCUGGCAUACAUGGGCAUUAUUUAAUACAGCAGUGAUGUCUCAUUAUACCAUUAGAGGAUACCCUUCGUUUGCUUCACAAUAUGUUGUUGCAGCAGUUAAUGGAUAUUUUCAUUCCAUAGCAUGUGCAGCACAUGCUAAAGGUGUCGAUGAUAGUUUACAGGAUAUUCUUCGUCUUCUCACGUUGUGGUUCAACCAUGGAGCUACUGCUGAUGUUCAAAUAGCUCUGCAGAAAGGAUUUGCACAUGUUAAUAUCAACACAUGGCUGGUUGUUUUACCUCAAAUAAUUGCCAGGAUACAUUCAAAUAACCAUGCUGUGAGAGAACUGAUACAAUCACUUUUGGUGCGAAUAGGCCAAAGUCAUCCUCAGGCUCUUAUGUACCCUCUUUUAGUGGCAUGCAAGUCAAUAAGUACUUUACGUAGAGCUGCUGCACAAGAAGUGGUUGACAAAGUCAGGCAGCAUAGUGGUUUGCUUGUGGAUCAGGCACAACUUGUAUCAAGGGAGCUAAUCAGAGUUGCAAUACUUUGGCAUGAAAUGUGGCAUGAAGCACUGGAAGAAGCUAGCCGUUUAUAUUUUGGUGAACAUAAUGUAGAGGGGAUGCUGAAAGUGUUGGAGCCAUUGCAUGAUAUGCUCGAGGAAGAGGCUGUCAAGGAUAAUACCUCUAUAAAAGAGAGAGGAUUUAUUGAGGCAUACCAUCGUGAAUUGUUGGAGGCCCGCGAAUGCUGCAUUAACUAUAAGAAAACUGGAAAAGAUGCUGAGCUUACUCAGGCAUGGGAUCUUUAUUAUCAUGUUUUCAGAAGGAUAGACAAACAGCUUCAAAGUCUUACUACCCUGGACCUUCAGUCUGUUUCUCCUGAAUUACUGGAAUGCCGUAAAUUGGAGCUCGCUGUUCCCGGAACAUAUCGUGCAGAUUCACCGGUGGUAACAAUUGCAUCAUUUGCAACCCAGCUCAUUGUCAUAACAUCUAAACAGCGACCACGUAAAUUGACAAUUCAUGGGAGUGAUGGUGAAGAUUAUGCCUUCUUGCUGAAGGGACAUGAAGAUUUACGCCAAGAUGAGCGGGUCAUGCAGCUUUUUGGUUUGGUGAAUACAUUGUUGGAAAAUUCUAGAAAGACCGCAGAGAAGGAUUUAUCUAUUCAACGAUAUGCUGUCAUUCCUUUAUCUCCAAAUAGUGGGUUAAUUGGAUGGGUCCCAAAUUGUGACACUCUGCACUAUCUUAUUCGAGAGUAUCGGGAUGCAAGAAAGAUCACAUUAAACCAAGAGCACAAAUACAUGCUAGGUUUUGCUCCAGAUUAUGACCAUUUGCCCCUUAUUGCUAAAGUGGAAGUAUUUGAAUAUGCUCUACACAAUACAGAGGGCAAUGACCUGGCUAGGGUUCUUUGGUUAAAAAGUCGCACCUCAGAGGUAUGGUUAGAGAGGAGAACAAAUUAUACCAGAAGCUUAGCAGUCAUGAGCAUGGUUGGAUAUCUUCUUGGUUUAGGAGAUCGACACCCAAGUAAUCUUAUGUUACACCGGUAUAGCGGGAAGAUUUUGCACAUUGAUUUUGGGGAUUGCUUUGAAGCUUCAAUGAACCGUGAAAAGUUCCCUGAAAAGGUUCCAUUUCGCUUGACUAGAAUGCUUGUAAAAGCCAUGGAGGUUAGUGGUAUUGAAGGCAAUUUCCGCACAACAUGUGAAAAUGUAAUGCAAGUUCUUCGAUCAAAUAAGGAUAGUGUUAUGGCUAUGAUGGAGGCCUUUGUUCACGAUCCUCUCAUUAAUUGGCGUCUCUUCAAUUUCAAUGAAGUACCACAAAUGUCAGUGUUUGGAAAUACUCAUGCCCCUGCCGUAGUAAAUACUGAAGAAUCUGCUCCUAAUAGAGAGCUCGCUCACCCUCAACGGGGUGUACGUGAAAGAGAACUCCUUCAGGCUGUGAAUCAACUUGGUGAUGCUAAUGAGGUUUUAAACGAGCGAGCAGUGGUUGUGAUGGCUAGGAUGAGUCAUAAACUUACAGGGCGUGAUUUUUCUUCAUCCUCACCAUUGCAUACCAGUUCUAUGCAACAUCCGGUAGACCCUAGCACCUUAAUUUCUGGAGAUAACCAUGAGGUUGAGCAUGGUCUAAGUGUUAAACUGCAAGUCCAGAAGCUUAUUUGCCAAGCUAUGUCACAUGAAAACUUGUGCCAAAACUAUGUUGGGUGGUGCCCUUUCUGGUGAUUGCAGGCAAGGCAGUAAUAUAUAUUGUAAAUGGUUGGAACCAUUUUUAUCUACAAUUGGUGGCAAUUGACUCAUUUCGUUUGCUGAAGGACCUAUUUACUAAUCACCUUUCUGUUAUCCGUUAAAAGAAUCCAACGCAUAGAUAAUACAAUUAUACAGUAAUGGCGUCGGUGUCAUUCUGCUCCCACGCUCUCACCUCAAACGCCCUCAUGAAAACUGCUGAUAAGUCUACGAGGAUCUAGUAGAUCACUGCGGCAGUUGUUGGUCCAAUGGGAACUGUAUGAAAGCAUGGCCCCUGAAAGAAAGAUAUUGUCACCAGAUGAACACUGGAAAAAGGCAUGGAAUUAGCAGUUCAAUUCGCAUCUAGGUGAUUAUGUUUUGGUGGUGUCGAAUUUAACUCCAGCUUAUGUUUCUUGAACAGCAUUUCAAUCAAUCCAAGUGAAGACCAUUGUUUAAGGAGUUUGAAGCGCAGUUUUAUUCAACCUAGGGAAUGCAAGUUGCAUGAAAAGACAAGGCAUAUUUCUCAUCUUCGGAAUCCUCACGGCAAUGAUGAACGUGAAACAUGCCUUAUGUUUGGUUGCUUUCAAGUGGAGGAGCAGAAUUUUCAACAGCCAAUAUUCGUGCAGAAAUUGAAUCCUAGAAGUUUCAAUUUAGUAUAUGAGCCCACUACUAAAUGACACAUACCUCACUUUACUUACCAAAAUUUUAGCUGUAUAUGCGGAUUUUAUCAGUAAUUUAAGAUUUGUCGACCUCACCGUAUACGUAUACUCCACCCACUUCAAAUUCAUUGUCUUGACAAACCCCAAUAUUGGCAGCUAAUGAGGGGACAAUAUUUUUCGGAACUCAAUUACUAGAUCUAAAUUUAUUAUAUUUGAUAUAAUUGAUUUAAUUUCAAUGGAACAGUUCAGUUAAGUGAAA